GUUCCCCAGCCAAUACCGAGCCGUGAGCAUAAAAUACCAGGAAAUGUUCUUUAAACAGCUCAGCACAGUCACUGCUCCCAGAACCACAGCCGCUGUUUUCUCACUGCAAUAUUUACUUUUCAGCUUCUGGCAACAAAUGGCCACAAACCGAUCAAAGGUGAAAGUGACGGUGAACCAGACAGAGCAGUCAGUGGCUGCAUAAAGCAGGACGGCGUGGAUAUUACACACGGGGACGGAGUACACCAGGAAAUAAAACUGUUCCCAAUAAACAAUGGGAAUGUGUCUCAGGAUCAGGUCGAGGAUAAUGACCAGGAGAUCCGCCGCUGCCAUGGCCCCCAGAAUUGGCUGGCCAACAGAAGACAGCGAGUGGUAUUGGAAGGAAAAUAUUCUGCCUGGAAGUCAGUGGGACAUAUAAACAUAUUUUCAAAUCGACCGAGACCAUUUUCUGCUCAGGGUAUGGCUCUGUGUAUGACAGCAGCAAUGAUGCACCGACAUGGAACAGGGAAUGUGAUGGAGACAUAGUUUGGACAAUGUACAAGGAGACCUCACAUGGUCCAGUUUGGGAGAGACUGACAUUAUUGUGCGAUUCAACUCAGAGAGGGAGGAAAUGUCAUCUGCCCGAGAAGAAACGGCCCAUUGCACUCUCUCUCCUUCAUUAUUCCUCAUCACAGUAACGUGUACGAGCUAAAACAAAACUCUGCUGUCAUUGUUACCAUUCUUAUUUUUAUAGUAUCCCUGCAGUGUGGAAACAAGCCCUUCGACACAACAAGUCCAUACUAACCCUUCCAAAGAGUAACCUUCCCAUGCCCUUACAGUUACCACUGACUCGUGCACCUAAAGUAGAAAUGGCUGAACACUAUGGACUAUUUGACCAAUCCACUUGAAUUAUACAGCUUUGGGCUGUGGGAGGAAACGGAAGCACCCAUCAGAAGCUCACACAGACAAGGAGAGAAGUUCCAAACUCCACGCAGAUAGUCGCCCGAGACUGGAAUUGAACUCAUGUCCCUGAUGCUGUGAUGGAACAGUGCGAACUACUGAGCCACUGUGCUCACCUGGAACCUCCUGCCAGCCUAAUGCAAAGGGAAUUCAGCCAAAUCCAACUCUCCCAGGAUAAAAUCCCCUUGCUAGCAGCUGUGUGAGUAGAAUAUCUUCAGAAGCAGAAUCACAUUUUGGACAAUCUCGCAAUUUUUCCUUUUGUCAUUAGUUACACUAAUAUUUGGACAAGGUUCUGUCAACGUGAAAUUGCAGAGAUUGUGUUUAUUGUGUGUGUGUGUGUGUGUGUGUGUGUGUGCUUUAGAAUGGGAAAUAUCGAAUCUUUAUUUGCAAUAUCCAAACACUUUGCCAUUCAUCUUUCCAUCAUAGUUGGAGUAACAUUGCUCUGGAUCAUAAACGUGCUAUUUGAGCAGAUGUGUUGUUUUAGCAGAUUAAAGAAACUAGGCUGACUUGUUCCUAAAACUGAUCCUGACCCAGUCUGAGAUCAGUAUCACCGACAUAUCACCGACCUGGUUACAUUUAACAUUUGUUGAGAGCAGUCCAGGAGUGAGACUAGAAAAGGGACCAGUGAGCCUGAUGUCGGUGGUGGGUGAGUUGUUGGAGGGAAUUCUGAGGGAUAGCAUUUACGUACAUUUAGGAAGGCAAGGACUGAUGGCUUUCUGCAUGGGAAAUCAUGUCUCAUUAAUUUAGUUGAGUUUUAUGAAGAGGUGGCAAAGAAGAUUGAUGAAGGCAGUUUGUAGACAUUGUCUAUAUGGACCUCAGAAAGGUAUACAUACCAUUCUGAUUGGUCGACAGAUUAGUAAGUUUCUGUCACAUAUGAUACAGGUGAACCUAGUCACAAUUGGCUUGAAGGAAGAGGGGUAUUUUUCAGACUGGAGGCUUGUGAGCAGCAGUGUGCUGUAAGAAUCAGGACUGAGUUCACAAAACAUUUCAUCAUUUAUGUAAAGGAUUUAGAUGUGAACAUUGGGGCCAUAGUUAGUAAGUUUUUCAGACGACAUCAGAAAGGUGGUGCAGUAGAUUAAUUCAGAGUAGAACAAUACAACAAAUAGAUGGGACAAAGGGUCAAGGAGUGACAGAUGAAGUUUAAUUUAGAUAAAUACGAGGUUACGCAUUUUGGGAAGGCAAAUCAGGGCUGAAAUUAUACACUUAAUGGUAAGGGCCUGGUGAGUGUUGAGAAACAAAUGGACAUAGGGCUGCAGGUACACUGUUCCUUGAAAGUGGAGUCGAAUGCAGACAGUGCGGUACAGAACACAUUUUACACAUUUGCUUUAAUCAGUCAGAGCAUUGAGUACUGGAGUUGUGGUGGCAUGUUGCAUCUGUACAGGAUGUUGGUGAGGCCACUUUAAGAAUACUGCGUACAACUCGAUUGUCUGCAGAAAAGAUUUAUGCAGAUGUCCCAGGACUGGAGGUUUGAGCUUCAAGGAGAAGUUGAUUAGUUUGAGGUGUUUCCCCCUGCAGUGUUAUUCUGAACAGCCAUGUUCUGCUCCCCAGGGUAGGGGAGCCCAGAACAAGAGAACAUAGGUUAAAGGGGAGAGGACGAAUGAUUUAGAAGGGACCUGAAGUUAAAUGUUUCGCACAGAGAGUGGUGUGUAUACAUAAAAUGCUGUCAGAGGAAUUGCUGAACGCAGUUGCAAUCACACAUUUAAAAAAUAUCUGAAAGAGGAGUGAUAUUGGCCAAAUGCUAGCAGAUGGGACUGGAUCAGAUAUGAUAUCUGAUCGGAGUGAACAGAUUGAACUAAAGGGUCUGUUUACGUUCUGCAUGACUCUCUGAUUGUAUAAGAGGAAUGACGAAUAAUUCUUAAAGUACCUUUCAAAUCAGAAUCCUCUUCACUGGAAGUUUAUUGUGCCUCGAUGUUCACAUUGAUUGAAAGUAGCGUUAGUGAAAUAUUCGACGGAGAACUGAGUCAUGGAUAAUUGGGACGCAGACAGGAAGUUGGAGCUGAGACCACACCCUGAUCAGCCACAAUCUUAGUGCCUGGUGGAGAAGGUUCAACGUAUCUAAUGACUCACUCCUGUCCCUCAAUCCCAUGUUCCUGUGUUCCAUUCAGCCCAUUAAACUUGUUAGGCAGGAGCAUUUAGAGGCUACUUACUUCUAUAGAAACAGAGGAGAUCAUUCGGCCCUUCAAGACUGUCCCACAUGCUUUGAGGUGAUUUGGGAAAUGUAAUUGUAAAACCCAGGCUGGGUAUGAAAGAGGCCCCUCAUCUCUCUUCACACGGCUUCCCCUCUCUGAAACUUGUGCUCCAUUUGUUGGUCAUGUUGUAGACCCAAAUUCACUGAGAAUACCGCCCCCAUACCUCACCUAGGGAUGGCUCACAAAAUCCUCCGGUCUCCCUGCCUGCUACAUUCAAGAACAGAACAUUCAUGAAAAUAUCAGCCACUAACUUUCCAAUAACAGAAUGUGAGAACAUCUGAAACAGGGGCAGGUCGUUCACUCCCCAAACCUGCCUUGCCUUUCACUAAGAUCGUGACUGAUCUGCUCUUGGUCUCAAAUCCUCUUUUAUACCCAAUUCCUCACAGCCCUCACCUCUCUGACAGGUCAAUAUCCAUCUACCUCCUCUUCAAAUACUUUCAGUCAUCGAGCUCCCCGAACACUGUUGAGAAGAGAAAUUCUGACAUUCACUGCCACCUGUUUGAAGAAAACCCUUGCUGCGCCUAUACCAUGGCCUAUUGAUAUGAACAAAAGAGGUUGACACAAGGGGUCAGAUAAAAAUGACUGGCCCAGAUAUCAAGGCUUCUGUUGACAUCAAGGAGCUUAACAAAACUGGACAUAAUGCGAGUCAGAGAAAACUCUCUAGUGUUUGGGGUCAAACAUGGCACAAAGGAAGGUGCGCAUCAUCUCAGUCCUGGGUCACCUCUGUGGGAGAUCCUCAGGGUAGCUUCCUCUUCACAAACAUCUUCAGCUGCUUCAUCAAAGUCUCCCCACCCCGGCCCUCCCCACCAUAAGAUCUGAAGUGGCGAUGGUCACUGAGGAUUCCACAAUGUUCAGAAUAAUUUGACGCCCCCGUCAGCUUCUGAACUGGACUGUGUCCAUGUGCAGCAAGACAUGGACUCCAUUGAGGCUUGUGCUUUUAAAGAGUCCGUAACAUUCAUAUAAAGGACUGUCUGACACUGCACAUUGCCACAGCAAAAUAAGAGAUCAUUCCGCACCUCACACUGGUUUCACAGGAAUAUGAGGAAGUCGUUCAGCCCAUUGACACUAUUGGAGAAGAACAGGGACAGCCCAUUCAGUGCCUCCAGCAUAUUACUCAGGAGGAGAAGGAUUCUAGGGUGAUGGGCCACACCAGAACCCCUCGACAAUAUUUGAAGGCGGUAGUCUAGACUCUAAUGUUUUCUUAUUUUAAAGAAAAUGUAAAGUGUCUGUUCCAGGUGCAAUGUGACUGGUCAAACAACUCCGUAUGAAGCAUAACACCAUUUACUUAAACACAAUAGAUUUAAAAAAACCAAAAAGAGCAAUUUAGAAUAACGUAAUUAUAUUGGACAAGUCAACAGAAUAAUAGAUCUAGAAACUGUUACUAAUGAACUGUUCCAAUACUGGAAAAUCACAUGAACACAGCCCUUGGAAAAAAAGGAAUAUUCAGACAUUGAAUGACACAAACAUUUCUACAAUUUACGAUUUAAAAACAGCACCAAGAGAAAAUUCAUAGAGAAUAGCUGCCAGGAGACAUUCACUAAAGCUUUCAACUCAGUGGAGACCCCAAUAAUUUCUGAUGUUACUGAGGAACCAAAACGCAGAAAUCCUAAUCUGUGAGAGCUGACCAUACCCAUUCCAUCUGCAUUAAAAUAAACCUAAGGCCUCACUAGUUGUUUACUCAAGUGGUCCUAACUAGCCAGCUUGGUAACGGUCAUUCAAUCUCUCUCUUAAAAGAAACCAGAACAAAAUAACCUCUUAAAGGUGCAGCAUCAUCACACUAGUCAGCACAUCGAGCUGUCAUACAGGAACCAGGGAUAACCAGUGAAGCCCUUGGCCCUGUCCAAUCGGACAGGGAGGAAGCCAGUCAGUCCCUUGAGUCACUUAUACAGGAACAGUAGGAGGCCAUUCCCAUCUCAAUGCACUUACACAGGGGCAGAAUGAGGUAAUUGAUGCUGAUUCCUGACGAACGGCUUAUGCUCGAAACAUCGAUUCUCCUGCUGUGCUUUUCCAGCAAACCACUGUCUACUCCGAUCUUCAGCAUCGGCAGUCCUCAUUGUCUCCUAACUGAUGCUCUAACAUGAUGAACAAGUGGAGCAGAGGCUGCACAGACAGACUGCUCCACGUUGUUUCUCGUAGCUCCGUCUGUCAUGAUAUACACGUGGGACUUUAACGCUGUUUUCUAGUGGUGAGCAGGGAAGCCAUAUGUCUUGUGUGAAGUCACAAGAAGGCACCUUUCAUCUCCGAGAAGCCAGCCUGGUGUUCUCUAUGUAGGGUGGAAGCUGGUGGGAAUGGCUACCUGUUUCAGAUGGAAGGUAUUGUGGCUGCUGUUGGGGAUUGUGAGUAACAUGACGUUCAGUACGGGUUCACACGUCGACUGUACAAUAACGUGGGGAGAGUUAAUUUAGGCAUUAAACUAUUAGGAAAGUCACGCUAGACUGAUGAAUGGACUCUCUAAGUUCAAAUGAUGCUGAUCUUGUUCAUGUUGAUCUUGUCUAGUGCACGUCCUGUUCAGUGUAACCUGUAUGCCUUACUCUGUCCAAGUCUAUUUCUAACCUACGAUCUGUCUGGCCAUGUUUACUAUGAUCUGUUUCCACUGCUCAUAAAUAAAGUGUUUCCCUGUAUUGAGGUACACGUGACAAUAAAUCAAACCAAUAACU